CAGAAGAGGAAGCAGUUAUCUGAAACCUGGGUUCUAGCUAUAUAGAUACAAAAGAUGUUAAGAACAUUACUGAUCUCUGACUCUAUUACAUGACCUCUGUGAAUUCUUGGUUCAUAAUUCUUUUUCUUUGCCACCUCCUUUUCCAACCCAGGGCCAGUAGAGUGAUUUGCUGCAUCAUACUGUUCCUGGUUGCUUGUGCCCCUGUGACAUCCCCAUGAGACACAGCCAGAUGACAUCCUUAGCUAUACUCUGUCUGAAGGUUUCAUCAGUUUUUCUUCCUCCUGAGAAAGACGUGUCUGUGUGACAUGGGCAUGCUUCUGUUCUAGAUGGACUACUUGGACCCUUGUGGCACAGGACACACUGUGUCAAGCUGGGACAGGACCUCUUGCAUCACCAUUUUACGUUGCUGAACAUGAAGGCGAUGAGAACUGAGGUAGUGAAAGGUGCAAGAGGAACAAGGACUGUAG